rnacentral:rRNA from 1 species
ACAAAGGGCAUUGCUCAGUAGCGGCGAGUGAGCGGCAAGAGCUCAGAUUUGAAAUCUCACCUAGUGUGCGAGUUGUAAAUUGCAGGUUGGAGUCUCGGGUUAGACGUGUGUGCAAGUCCCUUGGAACAGGGCGCCACUGAGGGUGAGAGCCCCGUAUCGUGCAUGUCGACACCUGUGAGGCCCUUCUGACGAGUCGAGUUGUUUGGGAAUGCAGCUCUAAGUGGGUGGUAAAUUCCAUCUAAGGCUAAAUAUUGGCGAGAGACCGAUAGCGAACAAGUACUGUGAAGGAAAGAUGAAAAGCACUUUGAAAAGAGAGUGAAACAGCACGUGAAAUUGUUGAAAGGGAAGGGUAUUGGGCUCGACAUGGGAUUUACGCAUCGUUGCCUCUCGUGGGCGGCGCUCUGGGUUUUUCCUGGGCCAGCAUCGGUUUUCGUUGCAGGAUAAGGACAAUUGGAAUGUGGCUCCUCGGAGUGUUAUAGCCUUUUGUAGAUGCUGCGUAUGGGGACCGAGGGCUGCGGCGGACUCGUUUCGUCUCGGAUGCUGGCACAACGGCGCAAUACCGCCCGUCUUGAACCGGGGACAACA